rnacentral:snRNA from 1 species
GUGCUCGAUUUGGCAGCACAUAUGCUAAAAUUGGAACAAUACAGAGAUUAGCAUGCCCACCCCCCAUAAAAAGGAGAACAGGGAUUUGCCUCAGAGGAAU